rnacentral:rRNA from 1 species
CCUACGGGAGGCAGCAGUGGGGAAUAUUGGACAAUGGGGGGAACCCUGAUCCAGCGACGCCGCGUGAGUGAAGAAGUAUUUCGGUAUGUAAAGCUCUAUCAGCAGGGAAGAAAAUGACGGUACCUGACUAAGAAGCCCCGGCUAACUACGUGCCAGCAGCCGCGGUAAGACGUAGGGGGCAAGCGUUAUCCGGAUUUACUGGGUGUAACGGGAGCGUAGACGGUGCAGCAAGUCUGAUGUGAAAGGUCGGGGCCCAACCCCCGGACUGCAUUGGAAACUGUUGAACUGGAGUACAGGAGAGGUAACCGGAAUUCCUGGUGGAGCGGUGAAAUGCGUAGAUAUUAGGAGGAACACCAGUGGCGAAGGCGGGUUACUGGACUGUAACUGACGUUGAGGCACGAACGCGUGGGGAGCAAAAGGGAUUAGAUACCCGAGUAGUC